rnacentral:rRNA from 1 species
CCUACGGGAGGCAGCAGUGGGGAAUAUUGCACAAUGGGGGAAACCCUGAUGCAGCGACGCCGCGUGAGUGAAGAAGUAAUUCGUUAUGUAAAGCUCUAUCAGCAGGGACGAAAAUGACGGUACCUGAGUAAGAAGCCCCGGCUAACUACGUGACAGCAGCCGCGGUAAUACGUAGGGGGCAAGCGUUAUCCGGAUUUACUGGGUGUAAAGGGAGCGUAGACGGCAGUGCAAGUCUGGAGUGAAAGGCGGGGGCUCAACCCCCGGCCUGCUCUGGAAACUGUACGGCUUGAGUGCAGGAGAGGUAAGUGGAAUUCCGAGUGUAGCGGUGAAAUGCGUAGAUAUUAGGAGGAACACCAGUGGCGAAGGCGGCUUACUGGACUGUAACUGACGUUGAGGCUCGAAAGCGUGGGGAGCAAACAGGAUUAGAUACCCCUGUAGUC